CACGUGGGUAACCUGCCCUUAAGUGGGGGAUAACAUUUGGAAACAGAUGGCUAAUACCGCAUAGAUCCAAGAACCGCAUGGUUCUUGGCUGAAAGAUGGCGUAAGCUAUCGCUUUUGGAUGGACCCGCGGCGUAUUAGCUAGUUGGUGAAAGGUAAUGGCUCACCAAGGCGAUGAUACGUAGCCGAACUGAGAGGUUGAUCGGCCACAUUGGGACUGAGACACGGCCCAAACUCCUACGGGAGGCAGCAGUAGGGAAUCUUCCACAAUGGACGCAAGUCUGAUGGAGCAACGCCGCGUGAGUGAAGAAGGCUUUCGGGUCGUAAAACUCUGUUGUUGGAGAAGAAUGGUCGGCAGAGUAACUGUUGUCGGCGUGACGGUAUCCAACCAGAAAGCCACGGCUAACUACGUGCCAGCAGCCGCGGUAAUACGUAGGUGGCAAAAGCGUUAUCCGGAUUUAUUGGGCGUAAGCGAGGGCGCAGGCGGUUUUUUAAGUCUGAUGUGAAAGCCCUCGGCUUAACCGAGGAAGCGCAUCGGAAACUGGGAAACUUGAGUGCACAAGAGGACAGUGGAACUCCAUGUGUAGCGGUGAAAUGCGUAGAUAUAUGGAAGAACACCAGUGGCGAAGGCGGCUGUC
rnacentral:rRNA from 1 species